AAGGGUGCUUUUAUGAGAUAGAGAUUUUUUAGAUAAUGCUUUUUUAGAUAAUGCUGGGGAAGGUUUUCCGGUUUAUCUCGGAGGGCUUGUAGCUCAGUUGGUUAGAGCGCGCGCUUGAUAAGCGUGAGGUCGGAGGUUCAAGUCCUCCCAGGCCCACCAAUUUACCUAUCCAUUUGCCUUUAUCUGUUUAUUUGCCGAUUUAUCGGUCCAUUGAAUUUAAGUGUUGGUAGCAGUUUUAUAAUGAUGAGAAAUCAUGCUUAUAAAAGAACUCCUUAUAAAAGGCUUGUUUUUAAAAUGUGACGCUUAUCCAUUUCGCUUAGGCAAGAGAAACUUCAAGCGGUUCAAAUACAAAAGGCUUUAAGUUUUGCAAAACACUUUGAAUUUUGCAAAACACUUUGAAUUUUGCAAAACACUUUGAAUUUUAAAGUGAUCCAAGUUCGUGAUCUCGAAUUUAAAAGUUUCGAAUGCUU
rnacentral:misc_RNA from 1 species